GGCUUUCCUGAAUGACGUCACCUGUGGCCCUCUUCUUGCCCUGCCUCUGCGGAAAUGGUGGUCGGGAAGCAGCCCCGCCCCUCAUGGAGGCGUGGCGUUCGCGCCCCAUUCCCGGCUGCGUCUUCUCCCUCGCUGAAAGUCUGAAGGGAGCCGGCUUACGUUUCUGCUCCGCUUGCCUAGAGUCUCACUAGAAAGCAGAGAAUCCCUGGGAUAACAAGCAAGACAGAUGCGUAGUACAGCUGGGAUGAAGUGCUGGUAAGGGCACCUGUGUAGAGCCUGUUGCCUCAACAAUGUCCAGGACAAAAAGGUAGCAAAUCAAACGUACCUUGGACUUUACUCUCUGAGAAACUCAUAGCUGAAUUCAAUGUUUAUUCUUAUGGACUACUUAGCAUUUGACUAGACGGUAUGAAUUUCUAAGUAAGCACAUAUAGAACUGGAUGCCCUUGUGGUACAUCUCAAGGCUGAUUUGAAAGCUUGAGAGACCAUCGAGAAUUGGAUUUGGGGAAGAGCAUGUAGGAGAAUACUAACCCUGCACAGAUUGUGAUGGUGAUGUGGAAUAUACUAAAGCCUAGAACGCUCCUCCUCUGCAUGACUAAUAUGUUCUGCACAAGACAUGAAGGCACAGACAGCACUGUCUUUCUUCCUCAUUCUCAUAACAUCUCUGAGUGGAUCUCAAGGCAUAUUCCCUUUGGCUUUCUUCACUUAUGUUCCUAUGAAUGAACAAAUCGUCAUUGGAAGACUUGAUGAAGAUAUAAUUCUCCCUUCUUCAUUUGAGAGGGGAUCCGAAGUCGUAAUACACUGGAAGUAUCAAGAUAGCUAUAAGGUUCACAGUUACUACAAAGGCAGUGACCAUUUGGAAAGCCAAGAUCCCAGAUAUGCAAACAGGACAUCCCUUUUCUAUAAUGAGAUUCAAAAUGGGAAUGCAUCGCUAUUUUUCAGAAGAGUAAGCCUUCUGGACGAAGGAAUUUACACCUGCUAUGUAGGAACAGCAAUUCAAGUGAUUACAAACAAAGUGGUGCUAAAGGUGGGAGUUUUUCUCACACCCGUGAUGAAGUAUGAAAAGAGGAACACAAACAGCUUCUUAAUAUGCAGCGUGUUAAGUGUUUAUCCUCGUCCAAUUAUCACGUGGAAAAUGGACAACACACCUAUCUCUGAAAACAACAUGGAAGAAACAGGGUCUUUGGAUUCUUUUUCUAUUAACAGCCCACUGAAUAUUACAGGAUCAAAUUCAUCUUAUGAAUGUACAAUUGAAAAUUCACUGCUGAAGCAAACAUGGACAGGGCGCUGGACAAUGAAAGAUGGCCUUCAUAAAAUGCAAAGUGAACACGUUUCACUCUCAUGUCAACCUGAAAAUGAUUAUUUUUCACCAAACCAAGACUUCAAAGUUACUUGGUCCAGAAUGAAAAGUGGGACUUUCUCUAUCCUGGCUUACUAUCUGAGCUCCUCACAAAAUACAAUUAUCAAUGAAUCCCGAUUCUCAUGGAACAAAGAGCUGAUAAACCAGAGUGACUUCUCUAUGAAUUUGAUGGAUCUUAAUCUUUCAGACAGUGGGGAAUAUUUAUGCAAUAUUUCUUCAGAUGAAUAUACUUUACUUACCAUCCACACAGUGCAUGUAGAACCGAGCCAAGAAACAGCUUCCCAUAACAAAGGCUUAUGGAUUUUGGUGCCCUCUGUGAUUUUGGCAGCUUUUCUGCUGAUUUGGACAGUAAAACGUUGCAGAGCCCAGCCAGAAGCCAGGAGGAGCAGACACCCUGCUGAUGGAGCCCAACAAGAAAGAUAUUGUGUCCCUCCUGGUGAGCACUGUCCCAGUGCACCCGAUAAUGGCGAAGAAAAUGUGCCUCUUUCAGGAAAAGUAUAGGAAAUGAGAGAAGACUGUGACAACUCAUGACCUGCAUCCUUAAUAUCCAGUGACUUCAUCUCCCCUUUCUUCACCACAAUUCCAGGCAAUGGCCUGUCGGACCAGACAAUUCUACCACUGCAAAGAGUUGUAACCAUUUUCUGUCAGCCCAGGAGGUUACAGUGAGCUCUCCACUAAGAAUCUGGAAGAAAUGCAUCACUAGGGGUUGAUUCCCAAUCUGAUCAACUGAUAAUGGGUGAGAGAGCAGCUGUUGUCCUUUCAAAGCAGGGGAUGCUAUUCUUCUUGAACCUGAAAAACAGAAUGUCAGUGUGUUCUGUGAAUUUCCUGUGAUUUUCACCAGUGGAACACAUGCCCAGAACCAAGCUGAGUACUUUCCAGAGCACAUUUUUCUAGGUGCUGGAGAGAGAAAAUAGGACAAGUUUCCAAAUGCUAAGGGGAUAUAAAGGAGAGGAUAAAUGCAGCAUGGGGACCAGCCAUAGAACUGUCAUGGAGUGGGACAACACUUGACUCCUUUCCAGUAGCAGAAUCUUCCCAGAGGACUUUUCCUAAGAAAAUGAUAUUUGUGUCCCUUUCAAAAUGACAUUUUUAAUUGCACCUAGGAAUGGGCUAUCAACAAACACCCUGCCUCCUUGUCCUGGUGGUUAUUUUGAUGAUUGAGAUGACUCAGCGUUAACCUUGAACAUUUCAAAACCAAGUACCAGGAAAUGUGGAGUGUCCUCUAAUGUCUUUUUAAACUUACAGGGUCUAGCCUAAUGAUAUUAGCUGAUUUGAUGGCAGAAAAUAGGCCUAUCUAAGCAUUCUGCAGACACUUGGAAGAAAUUAAUAAAUGUACCUCAUUCUAGUACAUGAGAAACACUAGGAUUAUUACAAUGAAGAAACAAAGGUAAGACACAAUAGAACAAGAAUGCAUUCCUUGGGACAAUGAAAACCAAAAAAAUAUAUAACUUUGGUUUUUUGUUCUAUAAUGAAGUUGUUUACAGAAUAAAACAAUAAGAAGAAUCAAUGGGAAAAUAAAAAGGAAAAUCCAGACAUUAAAGCAGCAUUUCAUGCCAUCAACAUGGGUGGCUUCUCCACCUUCCUCAAAGUAGAAUAGCAAACUUUUAAGUUCCCAAGGUGUUUACCUACUUAGCCACACAUACCAUGGGCCCACUUCUCAGUGGCUUUGAUAUACCUAGCAUGGUCUAAAGAAGUGUCAGACUAACUCAUCUUACAAAAGGAACCGCUUAAUAAUAAAAGAGCUGUGCAAGUAGCUUGUUUCAUCUUAAUUAGCCCAAGAUGAUGCUUCUGAAGUGCUGUGCUUUCUUAUCUAUCCUUCCUGCUGCAAGGGAAGAAGACUUUGACAUCUUUAACAACUCAGCCUCAGGAACCAGAAUCAGGACUAGCAGAUCUUGCAUUGGCAUUGUCAAAGAAGCUGUAAAAAUGGGUGCCUAAAAUGAAUUUGCCUUUGUAUUGGAAUAAGCUAUCAUGUGCAAUGUGAGAGGGCUGGGAUAAGCUAUCAUGUGCAGUGUGAGAUAGCUUACUGUCCAGUGUGAGAUAGCUGGAACAAGCUAUCAUGUGCAGUGUGAGAGGGCUGGAAAGUGACUUUUAGCAUCUGUGUUCAACAGUGGAAAUCACACAUCUACUGUGUGAUAGGAGGAUGCCAGACCCUAGAGGGGAGAAAAAUACAGUGCCUCUGCCAUCAGAGAAUCUAUGUUGACUGCAUUAGAAAGAAAAGGGAAGCAAUGGUUGAAAGUGAAAAUGUAGAUGAUGAUAUUUUUACUUUAGAAAUGCAUUAGUCACUUGUAAGAAGUCUGCCCACCUCUUUUCAAUUAUUGCUUGAGACCAAUGUUAGUCAACAGGUUAGAUUCAGAAAGCUUCAGAGGUCUCUCUUUAGUAUUUUGUUUCCACCUGGCACCAGCAACAGUGUCCUCAGUGGCCUUGAGGGUUUGUGCAACCAGAAAAUAGGAGUGGAAAUGCCCCCCGCUGCAAUUGAGUCAGCAUCCCAUGUAACCUGCCAGCUGGGUAGCCACCCCGAGCCUCUGCCAUUAACUUCAUUUACACAUUGUUCUCACUCAGCCACUCACAGGAAGGCAUCUUUAUGAAAGCACUGCAAACACUAUGUGUGAAAAAAUCCAGAUGGUAUAAAUAGCUUUUCACUUCUAAUUGCAACUUGCCGCUCACAUUUUGUUUCCUGAGAGCUCUGAAAAGAGACGGAUCCAAACCACUAAUAGCACAGGAGUUCUGGGAGGGUGAGUCAGUGUCUACUGCUGAAGGAGAACAAAGAUGAAGGGAGAACGGCAGGAGUCCCAGAAGGCCAUUUCAGGCUUGAAGGAGUACUUUUCUGCAGGGUAGCGCCCAGCCAGACAAACAGGGAAUGGUUUCCUGGAGUACCUGAUAGGUCAGCUCUUUGAUGCAUCGCUCAAGUCUGCGGGCUCCCCUCUGGGCCUCUGCACUGCGACGGAUUUCACCCUCCAGUUCACCUUCCAGUUCACGAACCUGCAACCAAAACGUGACCUCAGACCAGACGCUGCCAGCAAGGCUGGCAUUCUAUUUGCUGAUUGGCACAAUCAUUUGAAAGACAGCAAAGUGUCAAGGGAACAUGCACACACUGUUUUUGGUGCUUAAACAGGACAGUGUCUCUGGGAAAACUCUCUCGCCAAAAGUAAGAUCUUUUAUGGAUUCAUAAAAGAACUGUUUAGACUGAAAUAUGUGAAAGGCUAAUUCACACAGAUAUGAGAAGCUUUUUUCUUGAAUUACAAAACCACACCCAAAGUGUAUGUAUGAAUGUAUAUGUAAGUAUAGAGAGUAAGCAAUGUGUA